GUCGCUAUCGUAUAGUCGGUUAGUACGUCACGUUGUGGUGACCCACGAUCGUAACUGUGGAAACAGCUGUUCGAUUCAGCUUGGCGACA